AUGAUGUGUUACAACUUAAACUUUCUAUUUAGCUUGUGUUUUUAGUUUACUAGACUUUAACCCGCGGAUACUGUGGAGACAAUUUAUUUUCUUAAAGUUAGUAUAUAUAAAAGUUUGCAAAUUGUAUCUAUCUAUAAAAUAUUUUUGUUUUAUAGUUUACAAUUGUUAUUAAGUAACGUCCUGCCAAACCCGUCCCGCCAACCCGUCCCGUAAAAAAAUCUAUUUAUUUUAUUAAU
rnacentral:sRNA from 1 species